AAACAGUAGGGUCGAGUUCGGGCUGGAUCGGUGACAAGGUGCUGCAUGGCCGUCGUCAGCUCGUGCCGUGAGGUGUUGGGUUAAGUCCCGCAACGAGCGCAACCCCCGCCGUUAGUUGCCAGCGGUUCGGCCGGGCACUCUAACGGGACUGCCCGCGAAAAGCGGGAGGAAGGAGGGGACGACGUCUGGUCAGCAUGGCCCUUACGGCCUGGGCGACACACGUGCUACAAUGCCCACUACAAAGCGAGGCCACCCGGCAACGGGGAGCUAAUCGCAAAAAGGUGGGCCCAGUUCGGAUUGGGGUCUGCAACCCGACCCCAUGAAGCCGGAAUCGCUAGUAAUCGCGGAUCAGCCAUGCCGCGGUCGAAUACGUUCCCGGGCCUU
rnacentral:rRNA from 1 species